rnacentral:rRNA from 1 species
UGAGGAAUAUUGGACAAUGGGUGGAAGCCUGAUCCAGCCAUCCCGCGUGAAGGAUGACGGUUCUAUGGAUUGUAAACUUCUUUUGUACAGGGAUAAACCUGCCCUCGUGAGGGCAGCUGAAGGUACUGUACGAAUAAGCACCGGCUAACUCCGCGCCAGCAGCCGCGGUAAUACGGAGGGUGCGAGCGUUAUCCGGAUUUAUUGGGUUUAAAGGGUCCGUAGGCGGGCCUGUAAGUCAGUGGUGAAAUCUCAUAGCUUAACUAUGAAACUGCCAUUGAUACUGCAGGCCUUGAGUAAAUUUGAAGUGGCUGGAAUAAGUAGUGUAGCGGUGAAAUGCAUAGAUAUUACUUAGAACACCGAUUGCGAAGGCAGGUCACUAAGAUUUAACUGACGCUGAUGGACGAAAGCGUGGGGAGCGAACA